UCGCAUCAAGAAAAUGCUGCCUCCCACUUUCAUCAACGCUGAUGCCUUCAAAAACCAGCCACUCUGAGAAUCUUGGUUCAACUGGACCUAUCUCAAAGAUUGGGUUUACGUGCAGAGGAGUCGGCCCCAUUGGUGUCAGAGAAAACGAAGAGAAAAGAAAGGAGAGAACUUGAGGGAAAUGCUGCCGGAAAUCUUGGACGAUGAGGCUGCUAUCAUCUAGUCGAUUGGAGGUAAAGCAGGAAGUCGUCUAGACGAUAAGGGAAAAGUCGUCUAGACGAUGGAGACUUUACUAAAGAUCGUCUAGACGAUGGGGUUCAAGUCGAUGAUGGUCUACAUGAUAGAGGUGUUGAGGUAAACGAUCGAUGGCUAAAUGCUACACGAUUGAUGGCUCAAAGGUAAACGAUAAAACAAAGAAGAUCGGAGAAGAAGAUGAACACGAUGAUUUACGUGGUUCGGCCAAGGAUAGCCUACAUUCAUGGAGAAGCAGACGGGAGUUUUUAUUAGGGGAAAUUACAAGAUUGAUACAAGAUAAGUCUCGAUGCUUUCUUGCACACUCUGUAUAUUUUUCUCUUUUACAUUUACAUUUGGUUACAAAGUGUAUAUAAAGGUAGCUUGAAUGUAACUAAUUUGUAACAACCUUGAAGUUGUUUUCACCUUUCUGUAAUAACAAUCUCCACUUUGAAAUAAACUUCAAGUUUUUCUUCA